rnacentral:lncRNA from 1 species
AUGCUCAAGUUUAGAAGGAUGGGAAGUAAAGGGGCGAUGAAGGGAAGAGGAGCGACGGGCGACUCGAAGUGGAUCCGGAUGUUCUUACUGGUCAUGAUGUCUACAGUGAGAGAACAAACAGAGCAGAACAAGGUGACGUUCACCUGCUCUGUGUCGCCGUACGAUGAAUGCAGACGUAAAGUGAAGUGGUUGUUUAAGGUUAACGAUGUGGAGAAAGAUCAUCCUGAUAUAAAGACAUCAUCUCCAUCUUCCUGCUCUGCUGCUGUGACCUUUCAGACCUCCACCUACGUUUACUCAUCAAGGUUUAAGUUAUUCAAAUGUGAAGUAGAGACAGAAAACAAACAGCAGCUUUUUACCUUCAGCUCUGGUCCAACAGGAGGGAAAACCAACACGACCGACUCUGCAGGUGGAAGCGGAGCUGCAGACCGAGGGUGGACCUGGGUGUACGUCGGGGUGGGCGUGGCCACCGUGGCCUUAAUCAUAGGCCUCGCACUCGUCAUACUCAAGAGAAAUCAAGUUUUACAGCAGAAAGGCCCAAAACAUUCCAGUGGGGGCACGACCUCCGACCCUGACGUGGCUCCGUGUGCCUCAGAACAAGAACAGGUUGAAGCUGAAGGUGAAGCUGCCUACGCCUCCAUCAGCUACACCAAGAAACCCAACAGGAGCAGCAGGGAGAUUAAUGUUGACGUUGAUGUCACUUACAGCGUGGUGAAAGCUCCGCCCACUGAUCCCAACAGCCUCUAUGCUUCAGUCGUAGAAAAACCUAAAUAAUAAAUAAUAAAACUCUGCUGGUCUGAUAGCAAAGCCUCAUCAGUUAAUGGAAGAUGUUUUUCAUGGUUUUUGUUUAUUUUAAAGCUUUGUUUUCUUUUAGCGUCAUCUUUAAAGUAACUCAUCAGUAUUUAACCCGGACUGUAUUAUGUAACAGUUUGAUAUUUAAUUAGACUUUUUACUUUAAGCGAUGGGCGUGACAGGAACAUGUUCAGAUGUCAUGAAGGAUGUGAUUCAGCAGAGCAGCUGUGAGAUGUAAAAAUCCAACUCAUGAAGAAACUUGUUGUCACGGAGACGCAGGAUGAGUGACAGCUCUAAAGAUGCUUUUUACAGUCAUGCAUGUUUUCUUUUCACCUCUUCUUACACACAUACACAUGUAUUUAUGCAUGUAAUGUUUUAGACUUAUUUUGUAUUUUUAACAGAUUCAGAUGCAAUAUUUUGACAUUUUCUUUUAUUUUUUUUUUGUUUUGUUUAAAUGCUCAUUUUCUUGUAAAAGUCUUAAUGCUUCAGAUGGUUCAGUUAUUGAUAUGAUGACACCUGCUGGUAAAAUGGCAUCCAUAAUAAAGACACAUCAGUUUGUUUCACAUAAAUCUUAAUUAUUUUCUGUCAGAUUUUUUACUUUGCAUAUUUAUCUAACUAAUUAUGUACAAUAUAAUAUAUAUUUAAUAAACACAGUUGUAUAGUAUUUGUUUUUUAUGUUUCCUUUUUAAGUUCCUUCUGAUAAAUUUGCUACAUUUUCAUUUUUUUAUCAAACAUCUUUGCACACGGAUAUUUUUAAGAGUAGCGGAAAGACAAUAUAAGCCUUUGUGAAUUAUUUUAAUGACAAAUUUGAUCAUGUUGGUCAGAAAUCAAGGAAACUUUUUUUUCAGUGGUUUCCAAAGUAGGGGUCAGGACCCACUGAGGGAUACUAAAUGCUAGACUGUUGGUGUCAUUGAAUGAUCAACUAAAAUAAAACUAAAGAGUCAGCAAAAAACUGUUAAUUUUCAUAAUAACAGUCAAUAAUAUAUGAUAAUAAAAAUGAUAACCAAGUUUAGCAACCAUUUGACAUGAGAUAUUCAGCUAAAAUACAGUGUAGCAAAAUAUGUAAUAUAUGUAAAGGUUCUGUGAAGCUAAACAUUAUUUCAAUUUAAUUUAAUUUAAUUUAAUUUAAUUUAAUUUAAUUUAAUUUAAUUUAAUUUAAUUUAAUUAACAAUGACCUUCCGAUCCAGACAGUGGCGCUGUUGCUGCUAUGUAGCAACAUUUUACUAAUCGGAAGUUGUUUGCUGACGUUUCCGCGUCACUCCGUUUCCAAGCUGCUGUUAUGGUGGAAGGGUCGGGAAUUUGGUGCAUUUCUUUCUCCAUAUUGGAAAACUUAGCCCCAGCUGUAUUUUUGUACUAACUUUGAUCAAAAGACAGGAGUGAAUGGUAUCUGUUCGGUAAGUAGGAGACGCAGAAUGACGUUAGACAGAGAUGCUAAAGGGUAAUUAGCUGUUUGCUAAAUGUCGGCGACGACACCGGCAUCGGCUAGCUUCCAAACAACUUCUCUAUUAUUAUUUUUUAUGUUUAAAUACUUCAAAUGCAGCGGUGAGCAUGUGUACUUUAGUCUGUUGUUUUAACCUAACCGCUAUGUUUUUGGCGCUGCGGUUAGCAUCUAGCAUGAGCUAACUGUGAGAGCGACGCCUUCGCGGGUUGUUUCUCUUUGACUUGUUUACUGUUUGUGACGCCGGUUUGAGGUUG